rnacentral:misc_RNA from 1 species
UGAUGCGGUUUUUAGCCGACUUCCAAAAAAGGAGGAGGUUCUCAAUUCGACUGUAUUUUUUUUUUAUGUAUGUUACAUCAGAACUUUUGACUGGGUAGACCGAUUUCGUCAAAUUUUGUUUUAAUCGAAAGGUGGUGUGUGCCAAUUGGUCCCAUUUAAAUUUAUUUGAGAUCUAACAACUACUUUUCGAGUUAUAUCUAAUAAUGCGUUUUUACUUGAC